AAAAAAAAAAAAAAAAAAAAAAAAAAAAAAAAAGAAAAAAAGAUGAGUGGAGAGUGCACACUAGAGCCAGUUAGGUACAUUCAUCCAAUAAGCUUUUCCCCAGUGCUUCCUAGGUAACUGCUCUAGGUGCAGGAAACAAUGCAGGCAGCAGGACAGGAAUGGGCUGUCAGCUCCCCCUAGAGCUCAGUGUACACCCUUCCUUUCCUGGGAGGGCUGUUCCAGGCCCCCAGGGGACAGGACACACUGCGCUGGGUAGGGCUGGUGCCAACAUGUGGGCAGGCCUGUGAGACACUCUGCAUUUGGGGGCUGUGGUCUGGGGAAUACCCAUGUCUGGAAGCAGCCUCUCUCCCUGCAAGGGCUCCCGACCCCAGCCACGGAUACUUAAGGAAGAGCCAGGCCAGGGUGCGCACAGGCAAUCGCCGACAUCCGUGGCUGUCCAGCCCUACCCUGGGUGUGGAGGUCGUGGCCCAGCUGCCUGACCCAGAGCUCGGCUCUUCCAUUUGCACCUCCCACCCCCGGCUUCACAAGGUCACCUCCAGGAACUCGGUCUUUUUGUGUGUUGUUUUCUGGAGAAGGAAGGUGAUCUCCCAACUCCCGGGGCUGUCUGCCUCCCCUGCAGCUGGGCAGGCGACAGAGGCCCCCCACCUGUGACAUCCGGCUUUCCUCCCACCACACUCGCCUGAGAGCCAGCAUCUGUUUUCUUGGGCUUGCUCAAGCUCUCCUCCGUGUCAGCCCCUCCUCCAUGCCCUUCUCCCUCAGACCCCAGCCCCCCAUCCCUUUCCCGCCCACUGGGGUUCAUCGCUCAGGCUGCAGGAGGAAACUGGAAGGACGUCCUCCAGGGGUCUGGCUGGCGCUGGGUGUCCGAGUCAGUUGAGCGCCCCCCACCAGUCUCCCCGAGGCAGUCAUGGGUGUGCUGCCGCCUGGACGAUGUCUCAUCCCGGGGAGCGGUUUUCCCACCGGCUCCCUGGGCUCCAGCUGCCCCACGCGAGCCCCCGUUUGCUUCUGGGGCCAAGGCAGGCUUCCCUUCCUUCCACGCCAAAGACGCGCAGCCACGUUUCCCUGGGCCUCUAGCCCGUGAGAUCGCCGGGUGUAUCCCAACUCCCGCCGGGACGUGCGCUCCCCCAGGGCAGGGCCUGCCUGUCCCCUUCCGCGGGUCGCCAGCAGCCAGCACAGGCCGCAGACAGCGGUCCGCAGAGCGGACCAAGGAAGCCGACCCUGGCAGGCUUGGAGCGGAACAGGGCGGGGCAGAGCCCGCGAGGCUGCCGCUCGCCGGAACCCGCGGGAGGGCAGCCGGGCCGGGCGGAGCGCACCGCGCGCCGGACCGACCGCGCCGGCUCUGCCGGCCACUUCCGGUGUCGCGCGGCGGCUCCCGGCAGGAGGGGAAGGGCAAACCGCCAGCUCCGGGCCAGGGUGCGAAGGCCGCGGACCCGAGCCGGGAACGACCUUGGGCGGACGACCCUGAGCCGCGCGUCCCGCAGCCAUGGAGCAGGACGACCCGGCCGAAGCGCUGACGGAGCUACGCGAGCGGCGGCUGGGCGCGCUGGAGCUGCUGCAGGCUGCGGCCGGCUCGGGCUUGGCGGCCUACGCGGUGUGGGCGCUGCUGCUCCAGCCCGGCUUCCGGCGCGUGCCGCUGCGGCUGCAGGUGCGGGGCGGGACCAGGUCGGGGGCGGGGCCGGGUAGGGGAGCGCGGCUGCCGCUCAGGGUCUCAAGGUCUGGGCGGGGCCGGGGUGAGCUCCGCCCCACGUCGAGUGGUUCGGGCCGGGAGCGGCCAGUGGACUCCCGCCGCCUCCCGGUCCAGGUGCCCUACGUUGGCGCGAGCGCGCGGCAGGUGGAGCACGUGUUGUCGCUGCUGCGAGGCCGCCCCGGAAAAACGGUGGAUUUGGGCUCUGGCGACGGCAGGAUCGUGCUGGCGGCCCACAGGUGCGGCCUCCGCCCAGCCGUGGGCUACGAGCUGAACCCGUGGCUGGUGGCGCUGGCGCGGCUGCACGCCUGGAGGGCCGGCUGUGCCGGCAGCGUCUGCUAUCGCCGCAAGGAUCUCUGGAAGGUAACCUGGGGAGCCCUGGCCACCCGCUGACAGCCCAGGGUGCGGCUGACACCUGCCAGGGCUGGGGGCCGGGACUCGGAAGCUGCCGUUACCCCGUGCCCACCAGGCCUGUUCCCCGCUGGGGCAACUCCUCUUCCGGCAGCUCCCACUGCUGGAGGACAAGCUGAGAGCAGAGCUGCCUGCCGGGGCCCGCGUGGUGUCUGGGCGCUUCCCGCUCCCCACCUGGCAGCCUGUGGCCGUGGCUGGCGAGGGCCUGGACCGAGUCUGGGCCUACGAUGUUCCUGGGGGUGGGCAGGCUGGGGAGGCCGUCUCCUCGCGGAUACCCAUCCAGGCUGCCCCCUGACCUAGUUCUGCCUCCGUCCUGGGGGCCCUUGUUUCUCAGGCCAGCUGAGUGUUCAAAUACGAUAAAGACUCUG